UUCAGCCGCAGAGAGAAGAAGCUGCCCAAGAAUGGGAAGGAAGAAAUAUAUCACAUCAUCUGUCUGUCCGCAGGCUUUCCUUGGGGUUUAUGAAGAUUUCCUUACGGCAAUGCUCCAUCCCCCAGUGACUCCAAAGAGGAAGAUGGGCAUAAACGGGCAUCUGGCAAAGAGUGCCCACAAAAAUGUGUCUUGUACUGAUUGGAAAACCAGACUGUUGUGGGGUGAGUGG